rnacentral:rRNA from 1 species
AUACAACUUUCAACAACGGAUCUCUUGGCUCUCGCAUCGAUGAAGAACGCAGCGAANUGCGAUACGUAAUGUGAAUUGCAGAAUUCAGUGAAUCAUCGAAUCUUUGAACGCACCUUGCGCCCCUUGGNAUUCCGAGGNGCACACCCGUUUGAGUGUCGUGAAAUCCUCAAAAACCCUUUUCUCUUCGGGAAAGGGGAUUUUUGGACUUGAGAGGUUCAAUGCUCGCUUUCAGUUUUGAAAGUGAGCUCCUCUCAAAUGAAUUAGNGNGGNCUGCUUUGCUGAUCCUUGACGUGAUAAGAUUUUUCUACGUUUUGGAUUUGGCACUGUCCCUUGNACGCCUGCUUCUAAUCGUCUCAUGGACAAUGAUGGUGCCCUGGUCACCGCCAUGUACAUUGGCGGGGGAGGCUGGAACCAUGAAAUAAAACCUUGACCUCNAAUCGGGUGAGACUACCCGCUGAACUUAAGCAUAUCAAUAA